rnacentral:rRNA from 1 species
GGCAGGCGGAAAACGAGUUAACUGAACCUUCGGGGAACGUUAACGGCGUCGAGCGGCGGACGGGUGAGUAAUGCCUGGGAAAUUGCCCUGAUGUGGGGGAUAACCAUUGGAAACGAUGGCUAAUACCGCAUAAUAGCUUCGGCUCAAAGAGGGGGACCUUCGGGCCUCUCGCGUCAGGAUAUGCCCAGGUGGGAUUAGCUAGUUGGUGAGGUAAUGGCUCACCAAGGCGACGAUCCCUAGCUGGUCUGAGAGGAUGAUCAGCCACACUGGAACUGAGACACGGUCCAGACUCCUACGGGAGGCAGCAGUGGGGAAUAUUGCACAAUGGGCGCAAGCCUGAUGCAGCCAUGCCGCGUGUGUGAAGAAGGCCUUCGGGUUGUAAAGCACUUUCAGUCGUGAGGAAGGUAGUGUAGUUAAUAGCUGCAUUAUUUGACGUUAGCGACAGAAGAAGCACCGGCUAACUCCGUGCCAGCAGCCGCGGUAAUACGGAGGGUGCGAGCGUUAAUCGGAAUUACUGGGCGUAAAGCGCAUGCAGGUGGUUAGUUAAGUCAGAUGUGAAAGCCCGGGGCUCAACCUCGGAACUGCAUUUGAAACUGGCUGACUAGAGUACUGUAGAGGGGGGUAGAAUUUCAGGUGUAGCGGUGAAAUGCGUAGAGAUCUGAAGGAAUACCGGUGGCGAAGGCGGCCCCCUGGACAGAUACUGACACUCAGAUGCGAAAGCGUGGGGAGCAAACAGGAUUAGAUACCCUGGUAGUCCACGCCGUAAACGAUGUCUACUUGGAGGUUGUGGCCUUGAGCCGUGGCUUUCGGAGCUAACGCGUUAAGUAGACCGCCUGGGGAGUACGGUCGCAAGAUUAAAACUCAAAUGAAUUGACGGGGGCCCGCACAAGCGGUGGAGCAUGUGGUUUAAUUCGAUGCAACGCGAAGAACCUUACCUACUCUUGACAUCCAGAGAACUUAGCAGAGAUGCUUUGGUGCCUUCGGGAACUCUGAGACAGGUGCUGCAUGGCUGUCGUCAGCUCGUGUUGUGAAAUGUUGGGUUAAGUCCCGCAACGAGCGCAACCCUUAUCCUUGUUUGCCAGCACUUCGGGUGGGAACUCCAGGGAGACUGCCGGUGAUAAACCGGGAGGAAGGUGGGGACCGACGUCAAGUCAUCAUGGCCCUUACGAGUUAGGGCUACACACGUGACUACAGAUGCGCGCAUACAGAGGGCAGCCAACUUGCGAAAGUGAGACGAAUCCCAAAAAGUGCGUCUGUAGUCCGGAUUGUGAAAGGUCUGCAACUCGACUCCAUGAAGUCGGAAUCGCUAGUAAUCGUGGAUCAGAAUGCCACGGUGAAUACGUACUCCAAGG